rnacentral:lncRNA from 1 species
AGCUGGAGCUAGCCUAUGAAGUGAUUUAUCACCUCUCUCACACGAAGUUUUUCUGCGAGAGUGGGAGCGGCUGCUGAGGGAGGAGGAGGGUGAUGGAUGGGGGAGGAUUAGUUUGUGGCAGUAAGGGAAGGGUAGGAGAAGGGUUAGUGGUGAGAGCAGGAUUUUUAGAGGCUUGGUUUGAAAUCAAAGGAGAGUUGUGAUUUAGAUGAAUGGUUUUUAAACUGUUGGAACUGGUUUCUAUAGGAGAUGGGACACGAUGUUCCUGAAGAAGAGAAGAGCUAGAAGUUAGAAAAGGGUUUAGUGGAUUAGGGUUUCCUGUAGAAGGAACAGUAAGUAAAGAUUUAAGUUCAGCUAAGGAACCAAACUGAGUUGUAGUUGUAGAAAUGGAUACAGCUGUAAACAGUCUAAAGCUUGAGUCAUAACAGUGUCAGCUAAAGGGGAAAUAAGAUGAGAUCUGCGGAUUUCAGAACGAGAAGGAGGAGGACAAAAGGCUAGGGGUGGGAAGAGGUGAGGGGAAAGAGGGGAGAAAGGGUCUGGGGUCAGAAGGGAACGGUGGAGGGAGAAGAGAAUCUCCGGAGGUUGAAGAAGAUGGUUGCACGGCGGAAGCACAUCCAGA